rnacentral:tRNA from 1 species
GCGGUGGUGGUUCAGUGGUGGAAUUCGCACCUGCCGUGUGGGAGACCUGGGUUUGACUCCCAGCCAAUCCA